AUUGUGACUCGUUUGAGCUCUUAGCCCGGCGUGUAGUCUGGCGGGAGCCGUCCCUGGAUGGGGGUCACUAGCCUCCCCAUUGUGACUCGUUUGAGCUCUUAGCCAGGCGUGUAGUCUGGCGGGAGCCGUCGCGGCUGGCUCGGCAGCUCCAGGCUAUUCCGAGGAACAGUCUUCAGAGAGCCUGGGGUGCUGAUGGGGAAAAGCUGUUGCUGAGAUUUGACAAGUUUGGUCCUGAGAUGUCAGAAAGGAUUUCAGCUCUUCUGCCACCCCAAGGACGGUGGCGCGUAAAUCACAGUGAGCUGGCUUAUGUCAGGUCAACUGUGGAAUUUGAUCCUAGCGCAUUGCUCCCUCCUCUUCCUUGCCUGCGUCUCUCCCUCUCUCAGCUCUAGUUUGAGAUCAGCACAGAUUCCCUGGGUGAUUUUUGAGAAAACUGCCUCCUCUUUAGGACUUGGCAUCCCCUAACCUGCAUCAGGAAAGGGUGGCGACAGAUACUCUCACACCCAGGGAGGCUGCAAGGCCCACCCUCUACCCUCCACCUGGGUUCUCUGGCGUCGAGACUUGUGCCCUACAGUUCUGGGCCGUUGGGGUGAUGUCCCAGUGGGACCAGGGUGAGGGUGCAGGUAUCUGAGGGAGUAGUAGGACCAGAACCUCUAACCUUAGGGAGGCUUCCUGGGAGCCAAGCUUGGUGACUUAGAAUGUGAAUGUCUGACCCAUAUCCCACUACCUUUUGGUGGGUGCUGCAGAGGACAAUGGAGAGAGAGUCAACUCUGAAGAGUGGUCUUGUGGAAGAGGCAGCUGGCUGGUUCAGUGUGGCACUGGCAGCCUCCCUAAGGUUCCCAGGUAGAAGUUUCUGACAGGUAGAUUUCAGCUGUGUUUAAGGAAGAACUUUGAAGUUGUCAGAAUGAGCGGUCUUGUGAUAGUGAGCUCCCUGUCUCCAGAGGCAUGCAAGCAGGACACUUUCACAUAUGCAUUCAAGAUGACCUAUGCAAGGCGUUGUGCUAAGUGCUAGGAGUGCAGAGGAGAACGAGACCCAGUGGGGAAACAGGCACUUGCAAUGCUGCUAGGACAAUGAAUCCAGGCAGUGAUCCACCAAUGAUAACUAACAUCAUAAAAAGAUACAUGGCCGGAUAUGAUGUUCCUUCUGACGGAAGACCACAACACCUGCUGAAAAAUCAAAUCUGAAUCGGAUCAAGCCUCUAGAGGAGGCAGCACCCAGGGUCAUUCCUGGAGCAUAAACGAUCCCUGCAGAACAUGGGCUAGAAGACCCCACAGUGGGGCAGAGGCAGGUCCUGGACUGGGAUCCCAGCAGUGAGAAGACCUGGACAUCAACCCUAUUUCAUUGUGCCUCUGCAAAUCUCCCAACUUUUGGAGCUGUAGCUGCAAGCUCAGACUUGUGGUUUCCUGUACCUGGAGGAGGCCCAGGUCAUUCUGUUAAGUCCCUUGUCUAUUUCCUGCUUUUAUCUGGAUGCUGAGUUAAUUAUUUGAUCCAACAAUAAAACUAACAAGGUUUUA
ensembl:lncRNA LINC00642 long intergenic non-protein coding RNA 642